UUGUAAUAUUAUUAAUCCUUUCAUUUUAUGCAAUAUAACUGUAACAAUCUCUGAAAACAAUGGUGUACUCUGAGGUUGUAGAUACUUUGAAAUGAAAAGUGCAGGUGAUGUUUCACUUGUUGUGUUUAAACCUCUGCAUCCAGCAUAUAAAUUGUUUUGGUUUGCCUUGCUUUUCAUUUAUAAUUAAUUUUUCAUUAACAUGAAAUCAUGACUUACUGCUGCUACAGUGAUACAGGCUCCUAUAAUGUUGGCUCUGUUAAGGUUAUUGUAAAAUAUUUCAAUUCAACAACCAUCUCAAACAACUCUAGCUCUCAAAACGUAAGAAUAUUAUUUAGUUUUUAUAAAAAUACUCAGUCUAUACCGAAAUAUUUCUUGUUUGCUGAAGACAGAUUGCAUCAUUUUGAUGUUUUAAGCAAUUAAAUAACAUAUUAAGAGAAGUAUAACUGACCACCUGGGCUCUAGUGGUGGGAAGGGUCUUUGCGAGCCUCCAUUAAAGCAAAAUCGCACCAGAAAAGAAAAAGAAAGGGAGGGAAGAAAUAGCAGAGCAGCUACAGGUUAAAAUAUAUCAUAUAACAUUUAGAAAAAUUUAAUCUAAUGCAAUUUAACAUUCUGUUUUUAGGUUGACUCUACUUUAGAAUUACAGUUUCAUGAAUAUGAACUAUAUCUAAAAGUUUGGACAAUCAUUUAAGCUUUCAUAAUAAUCAAUAAAAAAUGUAAUUACAUUAUUAACCAUUAUUAUAAGUUUCAUUAAGUUAUAACUGGUGAAAAACUACCCGAGGUUGGCAAUGUCCCAAGAUAGGGCUUGCACUUCUCACCACUGAAAUCCAAUAGGCCAGAUAAUUUAGUUUUAAAGAUCUAAUUAGUGAUUUUGCUAAAAAGAAAAUGUGCCAAGUGGUAUGUUACUGAGGAAUAAACUCCAUCAUCAUCUAUACAUUAUCAUUAUUGAUUUAUUAUAUUAUUAUUUGCAUUUAUUAUAUUAUGAUUUUUUUAAGAUUUCUUAACACUUACGAUUUUUUUGGCCUUCAUGUUUUGAACCAUUACACUGUAAAUUAGGAAAUCUGAUGCUUUGUGUCCGUUACUGCAAAUAAAACAUGGCUCCAAUGAAUUGUUCAGUUGUCUUUAUCGUAAGCAGUUUCUAAAUGUGAGCCUUACAAAGCUAGGAUUGCCUUUUGACGCCCUUUUAUGCAAUAAAUGAAACAAAGUAGAUUUAUUUACUUAUAUUAAAAUCAAUCAUUCACGAGGGAG
ensembl:lncRNA